rnacentral:rRNA from 1 species
UACAGAGGGGGCAAGCGUUAUUCGGAAUUAUUGGGCGUAAAGGGCGCGUAGGCGGCCUGACAAGUGGAAGGUGAAAUCCCUCGGCUUAACCGAGGAACUGCCCUCCAAACUGCUUGGCUUGAGUCCGGGAGAGGUGAGUGGAACUGCGAGUGUAGAGGUGAAAUUCGUAGAUAUUCGCAAGAACACCAGUGGCGAAGGCGGCUCACUGGCCCGGUACUGACGCUGAGGUGCGAAAGCGUGGGGAGCAAACAGG